UCCCAGUGGACAGAGGGGCCACUGUGAUUCUGUCACAUCUAGCUCUCAAUGGACAGAGGGACGCAGUGAUCCUGUGAUGUAUGCCUGGGGCUGUUCUUCCUCAUCAGCCUCCAUAGCCUGGUCACUGAGACAUGA